GGCCAUCCCACAGCGGCCGUGGCUGGGAGGAAGCUAACCAUGAAAACUGAUCUCGGUGGUAAACGGUGUACCCUGAAGAGGAAGUUGAAAAACUUUCGAGUCUAAAAAAUAAGCUAAGAAGAAAGCACCCUGUCCUGGACUUGGCUUGUUUUACACAUUAUUGUCUGCCUUCCUUUUCUCAGUGGGCUCUUUAUUUGUUAAAAAAGUGCAAAGCCUCCAUGCUGUAGAAAUUAGUGCAUUCCGAUGUGUGUUCCAAAUGUUAGUCGUUAUCCCUUGCUUAAUAUACAGAAAAACUGGGUUUAUAGGCCCAAAAGAUCUACGAAUCUUGCUCAUUCUCAGAGGAGUUCUCGGUUCUACCGCCAUGAUCCUUUUAUACUACGCUUUCCAUACAACGUCCCUCGCCGAUGCCACGGUCAUAGCGUUUAGCUGUCCAGUGUUUACGUCUCUAUUUGCUUGCAUAUUUCUCAAGGAAAAAUACAGCCUUUGGGAUGUUCUCUUCACCGCAUUCGCCUUCACUGGAGUGAUCCUCAUCGUGAGGCCGCCCUUUCUGUUUGGUUCCAACGCUGCAAAGGUGACUGGAAGCUACUCAGAUCACCUGAAGGGCACGUUUGCAGCACUCGGAUAUGCUGUGGCUAAUGCCUUGACUCUCGUUAUCCUCAGAAAAAUGGGGAAAUCUGUGGACUACUUUUUGACCAUCUGGUAUUACGUAGUGGCUGGCCUCCUGGAGUCCAUCAUCAUCCUCUUUGUAUUUGGAAUGUGGAGGCUGCCGAACUGUGGGAUAGAAAGGCUCUUUCUCCUACUAAUCGGGCUGUUUGGUUUGGCGGGUCAGGUGUUUCUCACCAAAGCCCUUCAGAUAGAAAAAGCUGGGCUAGUGGCACUAACGAAGACUAUGGAUGUGGUUUUUGCUUUUAUCUUUCAGAUUAUUUUCCUGUCUGAUGUACCAACGUGGUGGACGGUGGGUGGCGCGCUCUGCGUAGUAGCCAGUAGUGCUGGAGCGGCCAUUCGUAAAUGGUGCCAGGGUUCCACAUGAAGCAUCAUUGCGGGAAUGUGUAUUUUUUUUACAAGUCCACCGUCACCGAGUACAAACACCACAUAUGCACAUACCUGGAAAAUCGAAAUCAUUUCAUAAAGGAGAUUGACCUCUGGUCACUCAGCUGUGAUGUACUCUUCAAGUUACAAACUGUCCCUCUUGAGACUGUCACAUCAAAUCCAAUAUCUCUAAAGGCUUCUGUUCCAGUGAGGACUUCAUUGUUCUAGACCCUCCAGAGCUUGGAACAGCUUUGAAUUCUGUACUUUUGUUUCCAUAGCUAAUUUGUUACUAAAUUGUGGAAUGUCUGUCUUAAAGUGGUAUGGAUUCAUUC